AGUUUCCCAGAAUUAGAUCCGAACUUUUUAUUUCCAAACAGGAGUCUCAAGCUGGCAGAUCUGUGCCUGUGAGAAGAUUCAGGGAUACGCACAGUGCCAGGCAUGCUGACAUUAGCAGCUGCCAUCCUUCUCUCCCUUCCUGCCAGUACUCUCACCCCUUCUUUACUCGAGUCAUCUGAUCAAACGUGCGAAGCCAACUUCCUGAUCCCGUAAGCAGGAGCCACAAGCAGAAAAGCAGAUGUCCAGGAAGGUAGACUAGCCCACUGGCAACCUUCCUCUCCUCCCCAGAAAGGAGCUUCUUGACAGACAGGAAGAGAGAGGGGAGCCAGAAUUCAAAAUGCAACCUCGGAUUCACCCGGCUGGGAAGACAGAUCCAGCUGAGUGCAUUAAGCGGACUGAUUAAUGGAGUCCCUUCCACAUUCAGUGACAGAAGUCACUGUUUCCAGGCACAUAAUUAUCGUGGAUGUCCUCAGGUGCCUGAAGGUGACAGCAAGGCCCGGCAGGGUUCCAGGGUCUGGUUCUUCUGGGCUGACUGGUUCUUCCUCCAGGGUAAGGGAUGCCACUGUUCCAAGCUGGAUAAUCAACCAACCAGGGUCAAGGGCCAUUAGGAAGUCUGCCACGUUAAUGAAAUUCCCCCAGCUCUCCAGUAGCUCAGCAUCACCCUUUUCCUACCAGAAGCAGAAUCCUGGUGACAGACUUUUGGAACAGAGGCUUUCCUCCUAGCCUUGCGUAGCUCAGAGAAGUAAACGGAGUUGAGUAAGCAGAAAAAAUUUAAGAAAAUCAAAAUGACUACUCCAAAAUACUUUAUGGAUUCAUAAAUAAGACUACUUUAUCAACUCACAAUUCCAUCUUAAACUCUUGUAUUAUUUUUCCUCAACCUUCUCCAGUCAAAUCAUAAGCUCAGGAGUUUAAUUAUGAGACAUUUUAACUGGUGAUCGUGUUCAUCAAGUCCGAAUAGCUUUUAUCCCAAGAGUGUGUGCCAUAGCAGACACCAGUGAAUGCUCUAGUUUGGGCUGUCGUUCCAUGCAGAAUAAGAAAGAAUGGUAAGAGAAAACAAAGUCCGAAGUGAACAAUGCUGG